GAAAUGGUCAGCAGUGCUCCGUGCACAAAGGGAAGAGGACAAUUGCAAAGAAAAGGAAAGAAACCCCAGCGGGUAGGGGCUUGGCAGGAUUUUCACCUCGGGGCAGGAAACUCUGGCAACUGGGCGAACUGGCGGCUUUUGAGGAGGCCUAAAUGUAGCUCUUCCAGGUUCCUGAUCCCAAAAGGUGCUUAAUCUCAUUCUCUGAGAUAGAAACCUAAAGAGAAGAGCCGAGAGACGCGUCUGGGGCGGCGACUCCUGUUGUGGUUGAAAGGUACUCAGGUCCCGUGUGACCAGAAGAAAACAGCUGCCAAGGAAAUUCUGGUGACUCUGGAGGCUGAGAAUUCACUUGCAAAUGCCAAUAACCGAGGGCGCCCGCGACGGGCGGUUCCAUGGUGUAAUGAUUUUAUGCCGAAUUUCUAGCUCCCACAUCUCUACUGCGGGCUCUUUGUCACUGUUUCACUAAGCUUUGGAACCUGAGUCUGGAAAUCUCAUUCUUUGGUCCCAAGAUCUCAGACGGAAAGAGAAAUCCGCGCAGCGGCCUCUUAAGCUCGCGGGCUGGGAGCCCUGGUCCUGAUCCUCUGCAGCCUGGAAGGAGCUCCCGCAGGGCCGCAGGGAAGAGGAGGCUGAGCAGCCCAGAGGGAUGAGUGUCUGACGCUGGGGCUCCCCCUCGACGGCCAGGACCCGGCCCCAAGGAGAAGACGAUGCCUUAGGGCCAGACAGAUGCAAAAAUGUUUUCUUCUGCGCUGCAGAACACUUUGAAUGAGGCUCGUGAGUGGGUGUUGAGAGUGAGCUAAGAUGUCCCUCCAGGCGCUCAGGACCAUCGCUCUGAUUUUCAUAUUUUGAAAAUGUGAGAAUUUUCAGCAGUUACAAAGGACUGAAAAACACAACAGUCCUUGAGGGGGUCAGUUUGGAGGGUGUGGGGAGGUGUGGUGGGUGGUGGGAGAGAGGUGCCUUGUCGGCUCCCUGGAGUGGACCGGCAGGAGGGAAAACACACACUCCGUUUCCCCUUGCAGGCUGGACUGAAGCGCCUGGGAUGGAAAAUUGCACAGCCAAAGUGUAGCAGGUGCAUUGAAAGUUGUUAUCCCUAGAGAGAAGGGCGGGGCCACGACGCUGCUGUCACUGCUGCUGUUCACCACCAGCUUUGCAGCAUGUGAGACUUUCGUAACAGCAUAUAGUGCGUGCAAAUCACUCGUGUUUACAAGCAACUGAUCACAUUCCUUACAGAUUUCUUUGUUCCUUCUCCAUUCCCACUGCUUCACCUGUCUAAACUUAAAGGAAAAAAAAUUUUUGUUUUUACAC